GAUGAAGAACGCAGCGAAAUGCGAUAAGUAAUGUGAAUUGCAGAAUUCAGUGAAUCAUCGAAUCUUUGAACGCACAUUGCGCCCGGCAGUACUCUGCCGGGCAUGCCUGUUCGAGCGUCAUUUCAACCCUCAAGCCCUGCUUGGUGUUGGGGCCCUACGGCUGCCGUAGGCCCCGAAAGGAAGUGGCGGGCUCGCUACAACUCCGAGCGUAGUAACUCAUUAUCUCGCUUAGGGCGUUGGGCGGCGCUCCAGCCGUUAAAGAACCAUCUUUAACUCAAGGUUGACCUCGGAUCAGGUAGGAAUACCUGCUGAACUUAAGCAUAUCAAUAAGCGGAGGA
rnacentral:misc_RNA from 1 species